CGGCCCGGCCAUUAAUCACUGCGCCUGCCGCCGAGUGACGGGGAGGGGCGACGGGGCCAGCCGGGCCGACAGCCAGCCCCCGCAGCCGGCCCACCCCUUCCCCGGCCCCCCCACCCCCGGCCCCGCUGCACGGCUGUCCCUGCACCCUGGGCUGCCCAGUCACCCUGCGCCGGCCUCCCGCAGGUCCCCGGGGACCAGCCAUCCCGGGAUGGUUGGGAGGGGGAGGCGUGGUGAGGGCCCAGCAGGUGGGCCCAGGUGGAUGGACCCCGGUCUGCUACCUGGCUGGACGGUUUCCCAGACACCAUAAGGAGGGACAGGGAUUGGGAGCUCCCUGAAUUUUACUAUUUGGAGUGACUGAGGCAAACACACACCACCUCACCAUGUCCCCAUACCCAUCAUCCACUGGGAUAGACUGCCCCCAUCUUCUGGAGGAAGAAACCAAAGCUCAGAGGACCAGAAGGACCAAAGGCCUCAUCAGGACCAAGGGCCAAACCCAAUCAAAACCACAUCCCUGUGUGCCAUGUCCCCAGAACCCGUUUGCUCCUGUCUCCCACCUGUUGCCUGUCUGGGACCCCUCAAGCAGUUGCUGCUCAGGUGUGACCAGCUGACAUCCCAGGGCUGGCCAUGGCAGGCACGGAGAACCACCGGGUGACCGGUGUUUGCGAUUUUCCUGGCAGAAGCCUGCUGACGCUGAUGUCAGAAAUGGAGGCCAACAGGGUCUGUUUCCCUCUUGGUAAUGGAUGGAGAAACUUCUCAUAGUCCGCGAGGGAUCGGUCGUAAAAACUUCGCCUGGAAGAUUAAUGUAAUAAUCACAGGCCUUGCUGGAAAAAAUAGGAGGAAAAUUAAA